GACGAACGCUGGCGGCGUGCCUAAUACAUGCAAGUAGGACGCAGUUGCGAACGGGUGAGUAACGCGUAGGUACCUGCCUAUUCGAGGGGGAUAACUAUUGGACACGAUAGCUAAUACCGCCUACUAGUAGAUGGACCUGCGUUGUAUUAGGUAGUAGGUAGGGUAAUGGCCUACCUAGGCGACGAUACAUAGCCGACCGGAGAGGGUGAUCGGCCAAACUGGGACUGGGACACGGCCCAGACUCCUACGGGAGGCAGCAGUAGGGAAUCUUCGGCAAUGGGGGGAACCCUGAACGAGCAACGCCGCGGGAGUGAAGAAGGUUUUCGGAUCGUAAAGCUCUGGUGUUAAGGAAGCGGUACUUAACCAGAAAGGGACGGCUAACUACGUGCCAGCAGCCGCGGUAAUUC
rnacentral:rRNA from 1 species